rnacentral:rRNA from 1 species
UACGGAGGGUGCGAGCGUUGUUCGGAAUUACUGGGCGUAAAGCGCGUGUAGGCGGCUAAGUAAGUCGGGCGUGAAAUCCCACGGCUCAACCGUGGAAGUGCACUCGAAACUGCAUAGCUAGAGUCCUGGAGAGGAAGGUGGAAUGCUUGGUGUAGAGGUGAAAUUCGUAGAUAUCAAGCGGAACACCGGUGGCGAAGGCGGCCUUCUGGACAGUGACUGACGCUGAGACGCGAAAGCGUGGGGAGCAAACAGG